rnacentral:rRNA from 1 species
AAUUUACCAAUUAAGAAGAUAUUAUAAUAAUGAGUGUUUUAUAUUUUAAAUAAAUAUUUAAAUUCCGUGUAGUAAAUUUAUUAUUUGUAUUAUUUAUAUAAUAGGUGUAUUAUAUUUAAAUUUUAAAUUUGUUGUUUUAUAUUUAGAUAUAUAUUUAUAAAUUAAUAUAUUUAAAAAAUAUUUUAAAAUUUAUUGAACUGUAAUUAUUAGUUUAAUAUUUUUAGUUUGAUGUUGAAAUAUUUAAUUAAAGAUGUUACAGUUGUUCUAUAUGUACCAAAUAAAUAUAGUAAGAUUAUUUUAGUUGAAUUAAUAAAUAAAUAUUUAUUUUUCUUUGUAAAUAUUAUGAACAAUUUAAAAAUUAAUCUGUUUAACUAAAAUGUUAUAUAUAAUAAUCUAAGUUAAUUUGAAUAUUAAAAGUACAAGUAUAAUUUGUAAUUCUAAAGUAUCUGUGAUAUAUUUUUAGUAGGCAAAUGAAAGGUAUAAAUAAGUAUAACUUAAUAUUUAAUAUUUGUUUAAUGAAAAGUAUUUUAUUAUUAUAUUGUAUAGUAUUAUUAUAAUGUAUAGUUUUUAAAAAUAUAAAAAUAUUGUUAAUAAAAUUAUCGUAUUUUAAGUGCGUUUAUUAAAUGCGUUUGUCUAAGAUAAUUAUUUAAGAUUAUUCUUGUAAAUAUAUUUAAAUAUUAAUAAUUCUUAAAAUAAAAAAGUAUCCUCAAUUGCAAUAUUAUUGUAGC